GCCUGAAUAGUGUAGUGGUUUGAACAUUGGGCUAUGAUUCUGGAGACCAGGGUUCAAAUCCCCACUCAGCCA
rnacentral:tRNA from 1 species